ACCAUCUCAUUUUCAAAACUACAAUAGAACAGCGCAAUGAUUUACAAGAUAAUACCAGAAAGCAAUCUCGAUGCAACAAUCUAAAAUCCACACACCGAAAUUCAACUCCAAAUUCAUCUUCUAAAAUUCAUUCAUGCGAUUAAGUUUGGGCACGGAUAGGGUUGGGUUGGGCUGAUAAUCAACUCGAUCCAAUUCGCUUAUAAAACGGGUUAAAAAAAUUCAACUCAACCCAACCUAUUAUAUUUUUCAACCCAACCUGUAGAAUUGCGCAUUGAGUCGGGUUGGGUUGAUUGGAUUGGACUUUUAAAAAAGUCUAUUUUUAUAGUGUGAACAAAAAUAAACUAAUUAAAUGAAAAAAAUUUAAAAACAUAAAUACUAAAAUCCUUAUAACAAAUUCAACAUUUCAAAGUUUAAGAAUCAAAUUAGGGAAAUUAAUAUUACACCACCGCUCUUUUAUCUUAUGUUCAACCACCACAAAAUUUUAACAUGUUCUCUGCACCACUUUUCUUUUUAAAUUUUUAUCAACUAGUCACUUUUGAACUAACACCGUUAAAUAAUUUAAAUGAAAUGAUAAUUUUAUCCCUAAAUAAAUUAAAAGACCAUUUUAUUUUAUAAAAACUUUAAAAAAUAAGAAAAUUAUAAUUAUAAAAAUACUCUUAAAUUUAAUAAAAAUAAAUCCCAAACAGAGGUGCUCAUUUGAUUUUUAUUUAAUUUAGAUUUUACAAAAUUUUAAUAAUUAUUUUUAUUAAAACUUUUUAAUUUUGCAAAAUUUUAAUAAAAAUGACUGAAUUUAUUUAUUAAAAAUUAUAAUUUUUCAAAAUUUUAUUAAAAUAACUAAAUUUAUUUAUUAAAAAAAUCCCAAAAUUUUAAUAAUUCAGGGAUUUUUAUUAAAUCCCAAAAUUUUGCAAUUAUUUUUAUAAGAGAAACUAUCAUUCGUAUACCCUAUAGUUGCUCUAUUAUAAACAAUACUACAACACUUUGAGGGUGUAUUAAUCAUUCACCCUAAGUUGACAAAAUGUAUCUGUCGUCCACCAAAUUGUUACUUGCCGUUUAAAUAGGAUGAUGCCAAUAGGGUAAUUUGGUCUUUUCAUAUGAUACAAGUGAUAAUUUAAGGGUAUAAAAGUGAUAAUUUUCCUUUACUUUAAUUUAAGUUUCAAGGGUAAAAUCGUCAAUUCGCUAUAAUUCCGUUAACUUUCAAACAACAACUAACGGUUUGAUGGUCGGCAGAUAGCUUUUGUCAAUUUAGGGUGGACGAUUGAUACACCCUCAAAGUAUUGUAAUAUUUUUUAUAACAGAGCAACUAUAGGGUAUAUAGUUGAUAAUUUUCCUUUUUAUAAUUAUAAUUUUUAUUUAGAUUUUUAUUAACAAUAAAAAUUCUAAUUUUGGUAUUUAUUUUUAUUAAACUUAGGGGUAUUUUUAUAAUUAUAAUUUUUUUAUUUUUCAAAACGUUUAUAAGAUAAAAUAUCUUUUAAUUUAUUUAGGGUAAAAUUGUCAUUUCAUUUAAAUUAUUUAUCGGUGUUAGUUAAAAAAUAGCUAAUCAAUACAAAUUUAAAAAGAAAGAUGGUGUAAAAAACAUGUUAGAAUUUUGUGGUGGUUGGAUAAACAUAAAGCAAAAGAGAGGUGGUGUAAUGAUAAUUUCCCAUCAAAUUAUUAGUAGUACAUAACUAAUGAAAAAAAUCCAUAAAUUUAAAGUCUUUUUUAAUACAAAACAUCAAAGUCUAAGAAGUGAGACCAGUGAAUAAGAGAAAAAACGAACAUGACUUGUUAAUACUAAAAAUAUUACUGCAGAACAAUGCUCAGCAGAUAUUUGUCAAAAAACCUUUUCCCAAAGAUAGUAAUAAUUAUUAUUAUUAUAUUCAUGUUAAUCCGAUUGAGCUUGACACCAUCAUAACAACCAAAAAAUUGACCAACUUUUAUCAAUAAAAAAAUAUUAUAAAGCACCAAAUCAAAUGGACUAAACCUUUUAAUAAUAAAAAAAUUUGAUCAACUUCUUUCAAAACAAUAUUAAAUUAGUAAAUUAGAAAGAAGAAAAAACUUGUGCAUGAGACAAUGUGCAGUUGGGCAGCUUUUCAAGAAAGCUUGUGAGUUGUGAUGUUGUUGUGUUCUAUGCACAAGCAGAUGAGCAACUGCUUUUUAAACAAGAGAAUUUGAGUUUAGGGUUCUAUAAUUAAGAAAGUUGCUAAGAUGCAUUUUAUAUUUAUUUUUUUAAUUUUUAAUUUUUUAUAUAUACGGGUUGACAGGUUGGGUUGGGUUAAAAUUUUCAACCCGACACAACCCACAAUGUUUGGGGGUUUGGAAUUUAAUAACUCAACCCAACCCAUAUAUUUUAUCAACCCAACCCAACCCAACCCAACCUACAAAAAAAAUCAUACAGGUCGGGUCGGUUUCACGGUUGGGCAGGUUGGUGCCCACCCCUACAUGCAAUACCUAAUUUUUACUCUCAUUUCGUACAGAAUCAUAAUAGCAUUAAAUUACCCAUUGGCGCGGCUAAGUAUCGAUGGGUGACGAUGAAUGUUGGGGUUGAUAGGCUAUUAGUAGUAACGAAUUGUGGCGACCGAUGGUUGUUAGGGUUUUCAUAUUUCUUUUAUCCAUUAUGGGAAAUGACUGUAGGGGUGGGCAAAAUAUCUGACCCAACUCGAUUAAAAAAAUGUCGGGUUUUGAUCGAAUCAAGUUGUGAAUAAAACCCGAUUAGAUGCAUUUGUGUUAACCCGAUGGGAUCAUGAUCGAAUCAAGUUCACCCGAUCGGAACCUGAUUCAAUCCGAAAACCCGAUCUGGUUGACACAAAAUUAAAAAAAAAAAAUCAGAAAUAACAAAAUUAAAAAACCAAAACUAAUUGCUAAACAAAUAAACUCCAAAUCCUAAACACACACACACACGAUCUACACACAGUCAUGCACAACCAUUACACGAACAAACACCGAAACACAGUCACAAAAACAGUCAAACACACACAAAGUUUAUGCCCACACCCACCCACAGGCCACAACCUCCCUCUCUCGCAUCCCAUUAUCAACGGCAAUAAGUGACACUCACGCAGCCCACACCCACAGCCAAACAAACGAAACAAAAUCAUGAUUCACAAACAGUCAAACACACAAACAAAGUUCACAGAGCAAGCUGGAUCCAGCCACCAAAUGCAGUAACCACGGAGAGUCAACGCCAACCGAAGCUACUCUGCGAGGAUCAUGACCCGAUCUAUUGAUCUACUGCUACCAAGUAACAGAUCUGCUGCGCCACCUCCAUGCCUCCAAUCCUCCACUAUCACUGGAUCUAAUCCAAGCUCCAUUCGACCCGGCAAGCUCCAUCUAAUCCAGGCUUCAUUUGGCUAUUGACUUUGAGUUUUGGAAGCUUUGGGUUGUUACUAUAACUUGGUAGAGAUGGUAUAUAUACUUUAUAUAUUAUGUGUAUAAGUGAACAACCAAAUGUGUACAUCAUGUGUGUGUAAAUACUUUAUAUCCAAUCCAAUCCGAAUUUAAUUUGAACCUAUAACCCGAUCUGAUCCAAUCCAAAUUAUAUGAGUUUGGAUGAAUUUUUAUCUAAUCCGACCACCUAAAACUUGAUCGAGUUAAUUCGAACCCAACCCGAAUAUGAUUUUGCCCAACCCUAGAAAUGAGGAUCGACGAAAAUUAAAUAUUAUAAUAUUAGAUAAUAUUUUAAUAUUUUUUAAUAUUUAUUUUAGUUUAGGUUUGGGCCCAGGAUAUCCCUAAAC
rnacentral:lncRNA from 1 species